rnacentral:rRNA from 1 species
UCCAGACUCCUACGGGAGGCAGCAGUAGGGAAUCUUUCACAAUGGGCGAAAGCCUGAUGGAGCAACGCCGCGUGCAGGAUGAAGGCCUUCGGGUUGUAAACUGCUUUUAUAAGCGAGAAAUAUGAUGGUAACUUAUGAAUAAGGAUCGGCUAACUACGUGCCAGCAGCCGCGGUAAUACGUAGGGGGCAAGCGUUAUCCGGAUUUACUGGGUGUAAAGGGAGCGUAGACGGCAAUACAAGUCGGAAGUGAAAUACCCGGGCUCAACCUGGGAACUGCUUUGGAAACUGUAUGGCUGGAGUGCUGGAGAGGUAAGCGGAAUUCCUAGUGUAGCGGUGAAAUGCGUAGAUAUUAGGAGGAACACCAGUGGCGAAGGCGGCUUACUGGACAGUAACUGACGUUGAGGCUCGAAAGCGUGGGGAGCAAACAGGAUUAGAUACCCUAGUA